GAACGAGGGUUAUUAAGACAGACCUAUUAUUUAAGUUUCUCUCGUGCCUUCUCUUCGAUUUCAUGCGAUCUCUUCCCUUCUUUCUAUCCGAGUUUAAUACGUAUACUGCCUUUAAAAUAUCUCUUAGUACGUAGUAGUUACUACUACAACUCGUUACAAAGUCGAUUCUCUGUUGAUUCAAGAUGAUAAUAUAUGACUGCGAGAGAUUUCACACGAACAAAAACAAAUUUAAAAAAGAAGAAGAAGAAAAAAGAAAAUCAUGGAAUAGAGGCAAAAGACGGCGCGCUUCUAAUUACAGAUUCACAAUGUCAGCAAAAGUCUGUAACUACUAUACUUUAGAACUGGCCGACUGUUAAUUUCUCCAUGAAAUAAUUCGAAACGUGACGUUGCAUAAAAGAUCGAAGACCGUUUCCUAGACAAGAUUGCCCACUUUACGCUCGGGUAGCAGGUCAGUGAAAAAUAAUGGGAUUGAACGUUCUCCGAAAAGAACAAGAUAAUGAAACUGUCACAGGAGAGAGACGACAACGGGUUCGGUCUCGUGUCAACGUUGUAUCGCGAUCCUUUGAUCGUACCGAUAAAACUCGUCUCAAACUAAAAUUUCUUAAAUCUUAAAUCUUUUUCGACCAUAAUCUGAAUAAGACGAACAUUUAAAUAAAGUCAUCAUAAGAAAGUUAUAUAUAUAUAUGAAUGAAAUAUGAGAUUUUUGAUUAAUAAAAUUUAUUCGAUAUAAAUCGAUUCUCGAUUAAUAUUGAUAUCUCUAACUUGAAAUUUGUUCAAUGAAGUUGUCUACUUAAAUGUACGUAUUUUUCAACAAGUUUUAUCCGUUUUUCCAAAAACAAUUUAUACAAGAUUUAUACAUUGUAACGAAGUGUGAACUCUACGCAAACAUGUUCCCCGGACUAGUCUGUAAGAAAUAAUGAUAUCAUGUAACUGGUUACAUGGAUUAAUCGUAAACUGGAAGAUCGAAAUCGUUGAUAAUUAGAUCAUAAACAUGAUUUCGUGACGGUACACGAAAACGAUAAAUCGAUUUCAAGAAGAUGCUUGUCUAUGACAAAUUGCGUUCCGGACGACUCAUCAAGACCUGAUCGAUUCAUUGAUCGCGAUUUCAUCAGUGAUAUUAGCAGCAUGCGAACGACGCGUUCACCAAUUAUCGUGAAAUUUGCACGCUGCCAACUACUUCUCUCCUGUGCGCGCGAUGAGAGUUGUUAAUGACGACGUGAAUCAGUGUGAUAGUCGUUGUAAAUCAAUUUUUAAUUGCGACUCGACCUGCUCUAUCGUUGUGAAAGUGUUGCUAAUAUCGCGAAUGAAAUUCGAUGGAUAAUGCGUCAUGGUAAUGGGUUGUUCGUUUGAUUUUAAUAGUUAUCUGUCAAGUUGUACUUGAUAAAAGAAGUCUAGUUCUAUGGCUGAUUUAAAAGCAUAAUGAAAUCAUAGAAAUUUUCCUUCAUCACGCGGUGGAGGACGUAACUAGGGAUUCGCGUGACACAUUAAUCUAAAAUUCGCGCGUGAGACAACGGAGGCCGCGAAUCGGUUCGCGAACACGCCACUUAUCAUAAUGCUUGCUUAAUGCUCGUUGCCGGAACGUGGUCUCGCGUGUAACCACCUUGUAGAGGAACGCCCGUGGGACCAACGAGACUUCCCUCUCGCGAUUUGUCGACGAGUGCAUCGGGAACAUUCCCACAAAUUGGCAGCGGCCUGUUCGAAUCGGAGGGGACAAAAUAGAGAGAGAGAGAGAGAGAGAGAGAGAGAGAGAGAA